CAUGCACUGGUGGGGUCCCUCGGCCUGGCCUGCACCCUCUCACAAUCCAAGACCCCUCAGGGGAUGUCAGAGAGCUGGUUUCAACCCGAUCCCGCAGGCCAGGCUGAGGGACCCCACUAGUGCAUG
rnacentral:pre_miRNA from 1 species